AUGAUUGAUAUGACUGUGUUUUUUUUGAAUUUUCUAUUUGGUAGGAAAACCAUGUAUGGAUGAUUCGUGUGAUGCAUGUGGGAAUGCAACUGGGUAAUUAGAUGUUUUUGUAGGGUUUAAUUCUUGAUUGCCAAUGAGGUUGGACUUUAAAUGGGAACUGCCAGAUGAGAACUAGUGAAGGAGAUUGAACUGCCAGAUGAGGACAACACUUGAAGGAUAUGUUACCAGACGCGAAC
rnacentral:lncRNA from 1 species